rnacentral:rRNA from 1 species
GGGUGCGAUCAUACCAGCGUUAAUGCACUGGAUUCCAUUAGAAUUCCAUAUUUAAGAGUGCUUGAGCUAGAGUAGUACUAGGAUGGGUGACCUCCCGAAAAGUCCUAGUGUUGCACCAU